AAAUUGAAGAGUUUGAUCAUGGCUCAGAUUGAACGCUGGCGGCAGGCCUAACACAUGCAAGUCGAACGGUAACAGGAAGAAGCUUGCUUCUUUGCUGACGAGUGGCGGACGGGU
rnacentral:rRNA from 1 species